GAUGAACGCUGGCGGCGUGCCUAAUACAUGCAAGUCGAGCGAACAGACGAGGAGCUUGCUCCUCUGACGUUAGCGGCGGACGGGUGAGUAACACGUGGAUAACCUACCUAUGAGACUGGGAUAACUUCGGGAAACCGGAGCUAAUACCGGAUAAUAUAUUGAACCGCAUGGUUCAAUAGUGAAAGACGGUUUUGCUGUCACUUAUAGAUGGAUCCGCGCCGCAUUAGCUAGUUGGUAAGGUAACGGCUUACCAAGGCAACGAUGCGUAGCCGAUCUGAGAGGGUGAUCGGCCACACUGGAACUGAGACACGGUCCAGACUCCUACGGGAGGCAGCAGAAGGGAAUCUUCCGCAAUGGGCGAAAGCCUGACGGAGCAACGCCGCGUGAGUGAUGAAGGUCUUCGGAUCGUAAAACUCUGUUAUUAGGGAAGAACAAAUGUGUAAGUAACUAUGCACGUCUUGACGGUACCUAAUCAGAAAGCCACGGCUAACUACGUGCCAGCCGCCGCCGUAA
rnacentral:rRNA from 1 species